UACAGAGGUCCCGAGCGUUGUUCGGAUUUACUGGGCGUAAAGGGUGCGCAGGCGGUGGGGUAAGUUUGAGGUGAAAGCUCCGGGCUCAACCCGGAAACUGCCUUGAAAACUAUCCGGCUAGAGGGUUGGAGGGGAGACUGGAAUUCUCGGUGUAGCAGUGAAAUGCGUAGAUCUCGAGAGGAACACCAGUGGCGAAGGCGGGUCUCUGGGCAGUAACUGACGCUGAGGAGCGAAAGCGUGGGGGGCGAACAGG
rnacentral:rRNA from 1 species